UAGAAAUACAGAUGGUAGAGUAGGAAUACAGAUGGUAGGGAUGGAAUACAGAUGGUAGAGUAGGAAUACAGAUGGUAGAAUAGAAAUAGAGAUGGUAGGGUAGGAAUACAGAUGGUAGGGUAGGAAUACAGAUGGUAGAAUAGAAAUAGAGAUGGUAGAGCAGGAAUACAGAUGGUAGGGUAGGAAUACAGAUGGUAGGGAUGGAAUACAGAUGGUAGAGUAGGAAUACAGAUGGUAGAA